rnacentral:rRNA from 1 species
CUUAGUGUGUUCAGUGGAUGCCUUGGCACCAAGGGCCGAUGAAGGACGUGGUAAUCUGCGAUAUGCCUCGGGGAGCUGGUAAACGAGUUUUGAUCCGAGGGUUUCCGAAUGGGGUAACCUGGAAGGUACCGGAGUUGUGUCCGGCUACCUGCGCUUGAAUUUAUAGGGCGUUUGGAGGUAACGCGGGGAAGUGAAACAUCUUAGUACCCGUAGGAGAAGAAAACAAUUGUGAUUUCGUGAGUAGUGGCGAGCGAAAGCGGAUGAGGCUAAACCGUGCGUGUGUGAUAGCUGACAGGUGUUGCAUGUGCGGGGUUGUGGGAGCGUUGUGGUCUGGCUGUUGACGGAUCGUUUAGUUUUGUUGGUGAAGUGGAAGCAUUCUGGAAAGUUGCGGCAUAGUAGGUGAUACCCCUGUAUGCGUGAGCUGACUUGACUUUUUUGGCGUUUUCCCAAGUAGCACGGGACUCCUGGAAUUUCGUGUGAAUCUGGCGGGACCACCCGCUAAGCCUAAAUACUUCUUGGUGACCGAUAGUGGACUAGUACCGUGAGGGAAAGGUGAAAAGUACCCCGGGAGGGGAGUGAAAUAGUGCCUGAAACUGGAUACAUACAAUCCGUCGGAGCCCCUUUUUUUGUGGGUGACGGCGUGCCUUUUGAAGAAUGAGCCUGCGAGUUAGUGGUGUGUGGCUUGGUUAACCUGUGUGGGGUAGCCGUAGCGAAAGCGAGUCCGAAUAGGGCGUUUUGGUCGCAUGUUCUAGACCCGAAGCGUUGUGAUCUAUCUAUGGCCAGGUUGAAGCGACGGUAAGACGUCGUGGAGGACCGAACCGACUUCAGUUGAAAAUGGAGCGGAUGAGCUGUGGAUAGGGGUGAAAGGCCAAUCAAACAACGUUAUAGCUGGUUCUCCCCGAAAUGCAUUUGGGUGCAGCGUUACGUGUUUCUUGUUGGAGGUAGAGCACUGGAUGGUCUAGGGGGCGUUUUGCUUACUGAAAUCAACCAAACUCCGAAUGCUGGCAAGUUAAGCGUGGCAGUGAGACUGCGGGCGAUAAGGUUCGUAGUCGAGAGGGAUACAGCCCAGAUCAUCGGUUAAGGCCCCUAAGGGGUGACUUAGUGGAAAAGGAUGUGGAGUUGCGUAGACAACCAGGAGGUUGGCUUGGAAGCAGCCAUCCUUGAAAGAGUGCGUAAUAGCUCACUGGUCAAGUGAUUUCGCGCCGACAAUUUAGCGGGGCUUAAGUCGCCCGCCGAAACUAUGGCAACCAUUUUUGGUUGGGUAGGGGAGCGUCGUGCAUGUGUUGAAGCGUUCUGGUGACGGGGCGUGGAGUUUGUGCGAGUGAGAAUGCAGGCAUGAGUAGCGAUUAGAUGGGUGAGAAUCCCGUCCGCCGAAUAUCCAAGGGUUCCAGGGUGAAGUUUGUCUUCCCUGGGUAAGUCUGGGCCUAAGGCGAGGUCGACAGGCGUAGUCGAUGGAUAACGGGUUGAUAUUCCCGUACCGGCGUGUCAACGUCCGUGUUGAGGGGACUGAUACUAAGCAUGCGAGGUGUUUUCUGCUGCUUUCGGGUGGUGGAGAGUGUUGAGUGUGUGACCUGAGGUUCUAGUAGGCAAGCUGCGGAGGGACGCAGGAAGGUAGCCAUACCGGGUGAUGGUUUUCCCGGGCUAAGAGUUCGAGCGUGCGGGAUAGUUAAAUGCGUCCUGUGUUAUGCGUGAGGCUUGAUGGGUAUAAAUUGGUGAUCCUAUACUGUCUAGAAAAUCUUCGUGAGCGAGUUGGCAUGUCCGCCAGUACCCUAAACCGACACAGGUGGAUUGGUAGAGUAUACCUAGGUGUGCGAGAGAAUCGUGGUGAAGGAACUCGGCAAAAUACCCCCGUAACUUUGGAAUAAGGGGGGCCGGAUGUGUGGCAUUAAAUUUUUUUUUAGUGUUGCGUUGAUGGCCGCAGAGUCUAUGCCCAAACGACUGUUUAUCAAAAACAUAGGUCCGUGCGAACAUGUAAGUGGAUGUAUACGGACUGACUCCUGCCCGGUGCUGGAAGGUUAAGAGGAACUGUUAGCUUUUGCGAAGCGGUGAAUUUAAGCCCCAGUAAACGGCGGUGGUAACUAUAACCAUCCUAAGGUAGCGAAAUUCCUUGUCGGGUAAGUUCCGACCUGCACGAAUGGAGUAACGAUUUGGGCGCUGUCUCCACCAUGAACUCGGCGAAAUUGCAUUACGAGUAAAGAUGCUCGUUACGCGUAGCAGGACGGAAAGACCCCGGGACCUUUACUAUAGUUUGGUAUUGGUGAUUGGAGCGGCUUGUGUAGGAUAGGUGGGAGACGUUGAAGCAGUCACGCUAGUGGUUGUGGAGUCAUUGUUGAAAUACCACUCUGGUCGUUCUGGUUUCCUAACUUGGGUCCAUUAUCUGGAUCAGGGACAGUGCCUGAUGGGUAGUUUGACUGGGGCGGUCGCCUCCUAAAGGGUAACGGAGGCGCCCAAAGGUUCCCUCAGCCUGGUUGGUAAUCAGGUGUUGAGUGUAAGUGCACAAGGGAGCUUGACUGUGAGACGGACGUGUCGAGCAGGAACGAAAGUUGGGACUAGUGAUCUUCUGGUGGCGUGUGGAAGCGCCAGAACUCAACGGAUAAAAGGUACCCCGGGGAUAACAGGCUGAUCUUGCCCGAGCGCUCAUAGCGACGGCAUGGUUUGGCACCUCGAUGUCGGCUCGUCGCAUCCUGGGGCUGGAGUUGGUCCCAAGGGUUGGGCUGUUCGCCCAUUAAAGCGGCACGCGAGCUGGGUUCAGAACGUCGUGAGACAGUUCGGUCCCUAUCCGCUACGCGCGUAGGAAUCUUGAGAAGGGCUGUCUCUAGUACGAGAGGACCGAGACGGACUAACCUCUGGUGUGCCAGUUGUUCUGCCAAGGGCACGGCUGGUUUGCUACGUUGGGGAGUGAUAACCGCUGAAAGCAUCUAAGUGGGAAGCAUGCUUCUAGAUGAGGAUUCCCGCACCCUGUAAGGGGUGGUAAAACCUCCGGUAGAUGACCGGGUUGAUAGGACAGGUGUGGAAGUGUAGUGAUACAUGGAGCUGACUGUUACUAAUAGGUUGAGGGCUUGCCAU